rnacentral:rRNA from 1 species
UGAACGCUGGCGGCGUGCUUAACACAUGCAAGUCGAACGGGAAACCUUUUAAUGAAGCUUCGGCAGAUUUAGCUGGUUUCUAGUGGCGGACGGGUGAGUAACGCGUGGGUAACCUGCCCUGGAGUGGGGGACAACAGUUGGAAACGACUGCUAAUACCGCAUAAGCCCACGAUCCGGCAUCGGAUUGAGGGAAAAGGAUUUAUUCGCUUCAGGAUGGACUCGCGUCCAAUUAGCUAGUUGGUGAGGUAACGGCCCACCAAGGCGACGAUUGGUGGCCGGACUGAGAGGUUGAACGGCCACAUUGGGACUGAGACACGGCCCAGACUCCUACGGGAGGCAGCAGUGGGGGAUAUUGCACAAUGGGGGAAACCCUGAUGCAGCGACGCCGCGUGGAGGAAGAAGGUUUUCGGAUUGUAAACUCCUGUCGUUAGGGACGAUAAUGACGGUACCUAACAAGAAAGCACCGGCUAACUACGUG